UCCCGCUGACCGUUUCAGAUCACCCAAUUACGAAUGCAAAUACGCCAGAGAAUAAUUUAAAGUCGAUUUCCUCGAGCACGGAGGCUUACGUAAACAAAUUUCCUUGUUUAUUCCAAUUUGACAAUUCCGUUACAUCACUGCAUCGCACCGUCGGCGUACCGUGGCAACGCGGUGUCAACGUAGCGCAGCGCGCGUCCAUUAAAUAUAAUUUAGGAAACGGGAUUAAGGAACAUAAUAAAAAUGCAUAAAUCUUUACGUCAAAACAAAAGAGGUGAACGGCGAUUGGUCGGUGCCAGUAAUCACCGAGGGGCCGGCCAAUAGGACGCGGCGUCGUUCGCGAGGGAGAAAUAAUGCAGUCGUCGGGGGAGCAGCCUGCUGCGAUAAUUGUAUAGCAAUUGACAGUGCAGCGGAAAAUAUUCGUGGACGCGGGUGCGUAGCGUUAUCCGCUCGCGACGAUCACGGUCAAAUCGAAAAUGUCAUCGCCCACACAAGUGUUAAAAAGUGUUGGCCCAAAGCUAGUCCCAUUCUUUAAAAGUGUGUCCGUGUAUUUUAUAUUGCUAGCCGAGCAGCCAUCCCUACUUACGGCAUGUUUCAAGUGUUUGCCAAUAAUAAGUCUUAUUGUCUUUGUUCUCCUUCAUGGAAUUAGCUUGUCACAGGAGUAAGUGCAACAGAAAUACUGCAUGUGCUAAUUCUCUUAUGUUCGCAUUUGAAAAUUAUGAAAUCAGUGUCGUUCACUCGUACACUAUGUUGGAGAAGAAAAAGAAAAGAAAAAUGAGAAAAGAGAAAAGAGAAAAAUGGAGAAAUUAAUGUUAACAAUUAACGCUGAAGAUAACGGACUCUAACUUAGAAUGGCUUACACGGUUAUUUUUGUACACAAUACAACGCAAACGUUAAUGAAUUAACACCUCUAACGAGCAAACGUUUAGCGGACCGGAAGUAGCGAGUUAUUUGAGGUUGCGUGUUACAUUUUCUCGGCUACUUGUAAAUGCCUAGCUCAGCUGUGUUAUCACGUUGAUCUUGCUUACACGCUUGUUUUCAGGUCGCUUCUUUUUUAUUUCUCUCUAAUUGGUAACAUACGUUUUCAGAGUUUCCUCGCU